GCGGAUGUGGCGGAACUGGCAGACGCACUAGACUUAGGAUCUAGCGCCGCAGGGUGUGCAGGUUCAACUCCUGUCAUCCGCA
rfam:Clostridiales bacterium GWD2_32_19 gwd2_scaffold_493, whole genome shotgun sequence.